rnacentral:rRNA from 1 species
UACGUAGGGUGCAAGCGUUGUCCGGAAUUAUUGGGCGUAAAGAGCUCGUAGGCGGUCUGUCGCGUCUGGUGUGAAAACUCGGGGCUUAACCCCGAGCCUGCUUCUGAUACGGGCAGACUAGAGGUAUGCAGGGGAGAACGGAAUUCCUGGUGUAGCGGUGAAAUGCGCAGAUAUCAGGAGGAACACCGGUGGCGAAGGCGGUUCUCUGGGCAUUACCUGACGCUGAGGAGCGAAAGUGUGGGGAGCGAACAGG